rnacentral:rRNA from 1 species
AGAGUUUGAUCAUGGCUCAGAACGAACGCUGGCGGCGUGCCUAAGACAUGCAAGUCGUACGGAAAGGCCCCCUUCGGGGGGCACUCGAGUGGCGCACGGGUGAGUAACGCGUGGGUAAUCUGCCUUAGGGUCUAGGACAACCCCGGGAAACUGGGGCUAAUACUGGAUAAGACCACGAGCUCUUCGGAGCUUGCGGGAAAAGAUGGCCUCUCCUUGGAAGCUAUCGCCCUUCGAUGAGCCCGCGUCCCAUUAGCUAGUUGGUGAGGUGACGGCUCACCAAGGCUUUGAUGGGUAGCUGGUCUGAGAGGAUGAUCAGCCACACUGGAACUGAGACACGGUCCAGACUCCUACGGGAGGCAGCAGUCGGGAAUUUUGGGCAAUGGGCGAAAGCCUGACCCAGCAACGCCGCGUGAGGGAUGAAGGCCCUCGGGUCGUAAACCUCUGUCGGGAGGGAAGAACGGUUGCCGUUCGAAUAGGGCGGUAACCUGACGGUACCUCCAAAGGAAGCACCGGCUAACUCCGUGCCAGCAGCCGCGGUAAUUC